CCGUCGCUCUUCUUCGGGCGUCAGAGGUACGCGUCGCUGCCGGGCCGCGCCGACGCCUUGCACCGCGGUGUCUUCCUCUUCUGCUGCCACGAGUCGCGGUGCUGUGCCGCCCUGCGAGUUUCUAGGAAUCAGCUACCCAGGAAAAAUGAUUUUUACUCAUAUGAGCCACCUUCUGAGAAUCCUCCCCUAGAAACAGGAGAAUCGAUGUAUCUCCAACUUAAGUCUGGUGCUCAUCUCUGCAGGGUUUGUGGCUGUUUAGGCCCCAAAACUUGCUCCAGAUGCCACAAAGCGUAUUACUGCAGCAAGGAGCAUCAGACCCUAGACUGGAGAUUGGGACAUAAGCAGGCUUGUGCACAACCAGAUCAUUUGGACCUUACAACUCCAGACCACGACUUCCUUUUUCCAGAAUUUGAAAUUGUAAUAGAAACAAAAGAUGAGAUUAUGCCUGAGGUUGCGGAAAAGGCAGAUUAUUCAGAGAUUAUUGGGAGCAUGGUUAAGCGGUUUCAGGACUUCAUUCAUUAAGUGGUUAAACUUAAUGCUUGGAAGAAAGGUCUCAAUUUGUCUAGAAGAGAGGUACUGAGAGGAAGACUCACUUUAGAGGCUGGAGCCUAC